GCCUAAUUCUCUCCUCACACGACGACCUCCAUUUUUUUUCCCUGGUCGCCCACUUCCCUGGUGCUCGCCCUUGCACUUCCCUGGCCGGCGCCUCUCCAUGGUCGAGCUCACCCCUGCAGGGAGCCCCUCCCAUGGCGCCUAGUCCUCUCCCCAUGUCGAGCUCGCCCAACCAAUCGUCUCCAUCGCAGGUGCUGUGUUCCCCUUCCCUUUCCUCAAGUUUGGUCCUCGGCGCCCAAGCUUCUAUGUCCCUACAGCACGCACGCCGUUGCCCCUACCCCCAUGGUCGGCCGACCUCGUCAGUGAGCCCCUGGCGCUACCCUGCAACUCGCCCUCAAGCCUAGGGUCUCACUGUUUUCCUUUGCCCCACGCGGAUGCUGUAGCCGGGCUAUGUCUCUCCCUGUCGUAGCAGCCCGCAAAUGUUUUGUUCGUCGCCGGUUUGUCGUGGAAGAGGAAAGUCCAUUUGGCGCGCUCUAGGUGUUUGGCAAAAAGCUUAAACCAGAAAUCGUCAUCGCCCUUACACAUAUUGAUUUGGUUUAUGACAUGAUUGGAUAGGAGCUCCGAACGCGAGCCAUAGACGGGAGUUGAUGCCACUGGGCGAUGGAUGGUCGCAUCCUCAGGACCUCGGCGUGCAACAGCAGUGGUAAGAACUCGCCCCCUUCCUCUCCGGUGGUAGUCUCACGAUCUUCCUCCGCUGCCAUUGAACUUUAAAAUGAGAACCAAAAGCACACGGUUUCUGGCCUCCCUAUUAGGGGAUUCCACGGAGGGACUCCUCUCAGGGAUAAACCAAGUGGUAUGUGCCUUGCUUGCAUUUCGUUUUGUCCCAUUUUUAAAAUUGAAACGAACAAACUGAGCCUUUUGUCAUCUAAAAUUUGUCUUGAUUUUUUCCUAAAAUUUACACGCAGUUUGGUGCUCAGCCCUGAAGCUUUUUGUCAUCUAUAAUAUCUUCCUCGCCCUCGCAAUAUGUUCUGGUCUAGAUUGUGGUCAUUCCUUGCAGCAAACUAAGACUAAUUACUUUUUCCUUCUUUACACGUGACCUUUCAAGAACACUUAAAUAUGUUUUGGACACUUAAAUCAGUUGUGUGGUUACUUAACUGCUAUUGUUCUUACUUUGAUUUUUUUGGUUGCUCAUGGAGUCAUGGUGCAUAUGCUCAUGUUUGCAGGCUGUCAUUUUUCUCAUCGCCUACUUCAAUAUCCUACAACAUUAGCAGGUUAGUUAAAGGUUUUUAAUGUGCUAAUCUUUUCUUUUUGCAAAUAGAGACUGCUCUAAAAUAAAUGAUGGCUUAUGUUUUCAUUUCAUUUGUUGAACUCGUAUAUUCCUCAUCUGUCCUGUACCUGAAUGUUAUUUGUUUCCGUAAUUAUCACAUUUCUCAUCUGAAGUGAUAGUUGUGCUGCAAAUAGUCUCAGGAUUACUUGAUGAUUGUAUACCAAAAUGUUAUAUGGUGCCCUAUUUCGUUUUUACGUUACCUGCUGACCAUUCAAUAUUUAUAAUUUAAGGUUAAGCACAUGGAUCAAUUUUUCUAAAGCUUAUUUCAGUUAUAAUCUUUGUUGCAGUAGUCUAUACACACUCAAAUAAGAAUUACAUUUUGAUUUUGCUAUUUCAGUACCUUGCUUUUUACUUCACAAGAAAAGGUUGGCCGAGGUCCCUCCUCUAGCGCAAGGAUUUCUACUGCAAUGAUUGCAACACACAUAGGUAAGAGACGUUCUAUGCUCAUCUCCUCUCUACUUCCUGUUGCUUCAGGUUUUGCCCAGAUGGAUGCAUAUUGUGUAUUUGAAUUGGAUCAGGAGUGAUUCAAAUUCUAAGUAUUAUUAGUAAGUCUCUGUAAUAUUGUACGCUUAUGGGCUCUUCUUUUGGGCAACAAAGCAAAGAACAGUGGAGCAAGGUCCUUAAUUUUCGUUGCACGUUGGAGAUGGAUUCAAUUGAGCGACAAAUCUUAACCCAAGUCAGAAGGCAAUGACCACCAUUAAUUUCUUUUCUUCUCCUAACAAAAGAAUCUUCUACGAAUCUUACCAAUUUCUAUGAUGACCCAUGGAGGGAGAUCAACUGCCAUAACAAGAUAGACCAUCAUAGAGCUGAGAACAAAAUGCACUAUAGCUUUUUGACCAACCCGAUUCAUUAACUCAGACUUCCAAUUUUGAAGGUGAUCUGCAAUCUUGUUCUCUACAUAAAAACAGGAUUACAUUGAUUCAACUCUGAUCUGGUGUUUGGCAUUUGUUUUCCCUCUAUAUUAGUUUCUCAUUAUUAUAUUUGUAUAGAUUCAUAUUCUUGAGACUAACCUAAUCAGCAUUCUUUACAUAAUAAUAUUAUAAGGAGGAUUAAUUUCAUAUACAAUACUAUAUAUAAUGAGAUGAAUCAUUUGGCCUUACGAUAUGUGUAAGAAAUAAUGCUUCGAUAAUUGGUAGCCUAUCAAGAGUUUCAUAAGUGUAGAACAAAUUUUUUGGCUGUUAACAUAUUGUAUAACAUUUGAUGUCGUAAUUUGUUUUGGAAGAAAAUUUAAUCUCAACUUAAAAUUUUUUACCGACAGGUUUAUGGUCUUUUAAUAUCUACAAGUUGUGGAAACUGAGAUCAUUGUAACUCAAAUGAGAGCUUGGCAUUUAGCACAUAGACGCCACUAGAACCAAUCUGGAAUUACUGUGAGAUAAUUUUAUAUCUUGUUCUGUAAGUUGGAGAAUUAAUAGCUAGCUAGCAUAUGCUUCCUUAAUGAUGUUUUUUUCCAUGCAUCUUCAUAUUACCAAACCCUUUUCUUGCAGGAAAAACGGAUAUAGAGUGAUAAAAGGCAUUAAUCUAAGUACUACAUAAAUGUACUACUUGUAUUUUUUAAUAAUCAAUGCUUCAAAAGUCUAUAUACAUGCUGACUGGUGUCAGGGUUUUUCCAUUAUUGUAAGUUUGUUACAAGCAAGUGCUUUCCCUCACACAACUUCACCUUUUCUUUGCAUGUUUAUUACUUUUGUUUGCUGGUUUUGACUUACAGCGAAUUGUGUAUGCAACUACUGUGGCAUAUCAGUGACCUUCCGAGAAGAUACAAUGGCGUUGUUAGUAGUAACGCUGCUUGAUUUCUAUAGUUGGAGUCAUCAAACAACUAACAUUUGCACUUGAACUGUUUGGUGAAAUGCUUGGGAGAAAGAGGUCAGCAAGAAUGGAGUCAUGGAACAUCGGCAGGAGGGGAGCAGCAGUGGCAACCGAUGUAUCCCUUGAACAAUCUGGUUUUGACAAGAUGCAAAUCAAUCUAGUGUACACUGUAUUCCACACUCGCACAGAUUGUUUGGCUAAUUACAAGAUUAUCUCAAUGUUUUGGUUUGGAUUUAAGAGUAUACUUAUGUAUGAAAUAUUGACUGGUACUCAUCUAUAUUAUAUUAAUUAUCUUAUUAUUAAA